AUGCCUCAAACCAAUGCCACAGAUGCCAUUGAGCAAAAGCUAUUGGGCAUACUUGCGGCGCAAGAUCUGGGUGAUAUAACACAGGAGCUUUGUGAUUUCUCGCUGGAGGAGCAAAAUGCCACUGCCGAGGCACAGGGCAUACAACCAAGCGCAUCAGCCGAUUAUGUACCAGUCUUAGGCAAAUCUGUAACAUAUAUUGUAGCGUGCGUCUUAUUCAACGAACGUGAUGAGGUGCUUAUGAUGCAGGAGGCAAAGCAAUCGUGCGCGGGAAAAUGGUAUUUACCAGCUGGUCGCAUGGAAAAGGGCGAAACAAUCUGCGAGGCAGCCGUACGUGAGGUGUAUGAAGAAACCGGCUUAAAUGUAGACGCCACUACGCUUUUGGCAAUCGAAGUGGCAGGCGGCUCAUGGUUUCGUUUUGUGCUCACCGGGCGCGUAACAGGCGGUAUUUUGAAAACACCCGCUCAAGCGGAUAACGAAUCCUUGCAAGCUAAAUGGGUUUCCCGGCUCUCUGAGUUACCGUUACGCGCCAAUGAUAUCUUAAACCUAAUCGAUAUUGGGCGUGCAUAUAAUGAACGCACAACGGCACCUCAGCCUCUUAUGUAUCAUCCAGAAAUAUUGCCGACUAAAUACUCACAUCACAAAAACUAUUUGCGCGUAGUCGCAGUGAUACGCAAACGUGCCACAAAUUCCUUGAAUGUGCUCGUUAGUGAAAAGAAUGUACAUCAUUUCCCCACAGUCGAGGUACAUCCCCAACGCAGUCUACACUCGACGCUAAGGAAAUUUAUGAUUGAACUAUUCGGUGCGGAAUUGCCCCAGCACCGACCACAUGGCAUACUCAGCGUCGAACACUGCCCCUCGCCCAUGCCUUACACGAGCGAUGGCAUUUGUCUUAAUGUGCUAGUCGUGUUUCGGCCGCCUUUGGAAGAGGUUGCGCUCAUCGGUAAAUGUACGUGGCAUGAGUUGGGACGUCAGCUAGAGGAGAAAUUGGCACGCAUAUUAUCCAGCAAAUAUUCGACAAUUCCAUUAAAUGUUAUACGAUAAAUUGGGAUGGGAUUAGCAUGGAGCAGUUCGAGGGGCAAUAAGUAACCAAGCAAAUAGUUAAGGGCGCGACGAAUGUAUUGUAUAGCAAGGCAAGCAAAUUUACAAUGUAAAUCAACAAGUGGCAAGGAAUUAAAGGAGCACGUUGCAAGUCUACACAGUGCGGCACUAUUAAGCAUAUGCAAUAAUAUUUAUUUUUAUAUAUUUUGAUUUUACAUACAUACUUAUAUACACCAAUUA
rnacentral:misc_RNA from 1 species